rnacentral:rRNA from 1 species
CCUACGGGGCAGCAGUGGGGAAUAUUGCACAAUGGGCGGAAGCCUGAUGCAGCGACGCCGCGUGAGGGAUGACGGCCUUCGGGUUGUAAACCUCUUUCAGUAGGGAAGAAGCGUAAGUGACGGUACCUGCAGAAGAAGCGCCGGCUAACUACGUGCCAGCAGCCGCGGUAAUACGUAGGGCGCAAGCGUUAUCCGGAAUUAUUGGGCGUAAAGAGCUCGUAGGCGGUUUGUCGCGUCUGCCGUGAAAGUCCGGGGCUCAACUCCGGAUCUGCGGUGGGUACGGGCAGACUAGAGUGAUGUAGGGGAGACUGGAAUUCCUGGUGUAGCGGUGAAAUGCGCAGAUAUCAGGAGGAACACCGAUGGCGAAGGCAGGUCUCUGGGCAUUAACUGACGCUGAGGAGCGAAAGCAUGGGGAGCGAACAGGAUUAGAUACCCUGGUAGUCCAUGCCGUAAACGUUGGGCACUAGGUGUGGGGGACAUUCCACGUUUUCCGCGCCGUAGCUAACGCAUUAAGUGCCCCGCCUGGGGAGGACGGCGCGAGACGAACUAACAAGAAGUAGACGCGUGAGACGUGCGACGACGACGACGAGGGAGGUAGG